rnacentral:rRNA from 1 species
CCUACGGGUGGCAGCAGUCGAGAAUCAUUCACAAUGGGGGAAACCCUGAUGGUGCGACGCCGCGUGGGGGAAUGAAGGUCUUCGGAUUGUAAACCCCUGUCAUGUGGGAGCAAAUUAAAAAGAUAGUACCACAAGAGGAAGAGACGGCUAACUCUGUGCCAGCAGCCGCGGUAAUACAGAGGUCCCAAGCGUUGUUCGGAAUCACUGGGCGUAAAGCGUGCGUAGGCUGUUUCGUAAGUCGUGUGUGAGAGGCGCGGGCUCAACCCGCGGACGGCACAUGAUACUGCGAGACGAGAGUAAGGGAGGGGGAACCGGAAGUCUCGGUGUAGCAGUGAAAUGCGUAGAUAUCGAGAGGAACACUCGUGGCGAAGGCGGGUUCCUGGACAUUAACUGACGCUGAGGCACGAAGGCCAGGGGAGCGAAAGGGAUUAGAUACCCCAGUAGUC